UACGGAGGGGGCUAGCGUUGUUCGGAAUUACUGGGCGUAAAGCGCGCGUAGGCGGUUCUUCAAGUCAGAGGUGAAAGCCCGGUGCUCAACAUCGGAAUUGCCUUUGAAACUAGGGAGCUAGAAUCCGAGAGAGGUGAGUGGAAUUCCGAGUGUAGAGGUGAAAUUCGUAGAUAUUCGGAAGAACACCAGUGGAGAAGGCGGCUCACUGGACCGGUAUUGACGCUGAGGUGCGAAAGCGUGGGGAGCAAACAGG
rnacentral:rRNA from 1 species